ACCAAGACCGCUGGUUCAAUCCGGUCCUCUCUCCGUCAAAGGAGCCUCUGUUCCAGCCCUUUGUCCUGACGCUUCUGCCUCCACUCGCUCUCCCCGGACUGCGCUCCGUGGGAGGGAGCAGCCGUCGUCCACCCCCACCCCUCACUCACACACACACACACACACACAUCUGCUUGACUCACAGCGGCAGCCAUGUAAAGCGGACUGGGCCGUGGAUCCUCCGACUCUUGUGUGAGGAGGGCUAGGAGCCCAGCUGUUGUCCUCACACCACCAUCAGCUUUCCAGACAACGAGGAGGAAACCAGGAGGAGCAACCAUCCUCUCGCGGGGAAGCAUCAAGGCAGGUGCAGAACCUGAAGACAAAGGGCAUCCCUGUGGUCCCACCUGAUCAGCUGACACCACAGCAGCGAGGAUUGUGGGAGGAUCCCUCAGGACGGACAGGUCAUGUGGACAGGAAUGAUUAUUUUUCUUAUAGAUUAGUGGAUGUUCUGAUUAAUUACAUUUUAUAAAUACAUGUUUUAUGUGUUUCUUUUGCCUAAAAAAGUGUAAAUAAUUCAAAGAAAAUCAGCCGGAUCCUCUCCGGAUGGUUGUGAAGGACGGACUGUGUGCUUUCCACCUUUUCUGCUGCUGUUUGUUGUUUGCUCCUCUCUAGUUACACUGGCGGAAACCGCACAUUGGGGCUAACUGGACUACACUGCAGCCGUAAUGGCAUCUGUCUGUUCUCCACUGCUCUUCUGCCCUACACAAACGGUACUGGGUUGAAUCUGAUAUACAUUCCUUGAAAGCCACGUUUUUUUUUUAUCAUGUUUCGCUCCCCUUUAUGUUCUAUUCAGGUGAAGUGGAGCCUAUCACAGGAUUAUCUCACUAUGGAGGGUUUAUGAUCAUCACUCGGUUUAUGAUGUUUCUUAUUUAACAGUUUUGGUGUCAAAAUCAUCUGGGAUGUACCAUUUUUUUGUAUCUAGGACAAAUUGUAUCAUCCAAAAACACUUGUACCAAAAAAAUAACAGCACAUGACUAACCCACAAAGACGAAAGGAACAAAGUUACACACACACAAUUAAUUCAAUUGGACUUAUUUCACGGCGAGCUUCAUGACAGACCGCUCUUUAUGUUCUGUGAAACAGAAUUAUCACACUCCAAAGUGAUGACAGCGUCAGCAUUCGGACUCUUAUGGAACACGGUUUAAUGAAACAAACUAAAGCUGAUUCCU
rnacentral:lncRNA from 1 species